CCUACGGGAGGCAGCAGUGAGGAAUAUUGGUCAAUGGCCGCAGGGCUGAACCAGCCAAGUCGCGUGAGGGAUGACGGUCCUAUGGAUUGUAAACCUCUUUUGUCAGGGAGCAAAGGGCGCCACGUGUGGCGUUUUGCGAGUACCUGAAGAAAAAGCAUCGGCUAACUCCGUGCCAGCAGCCGCGGUAAUACGGAGGAUGCGAGCGUUAUCCGGAUUUAUUGGGUUUAAAGGGUGCGCAGGCGGAAUGUCAAGUCAGCGGUAAAAUUUCGGGGCUCAACCCCGUCGUGCCGUUGAAACUGGCGGUCUUGAGUGAGCGAGAAGUAGGCGGAAUGCGUGGUGUAGCGGUGAAAUGCAUAGAUAUCACGCAGAACUCAGAUUGCGAAGGCAGCAUACCGGCGCUAAACUGACGCUCAUGCACGAAAGCGUGGGUAUCGAACAGGAUUAGAUACCCGAGUAGUC
rnacentral:rRNA from 1 species